GGGGGAUGUAGCCAAUUGGAUCAAGGGAUUGGAUUGCGAAUCCACCAUGCGCGA
rnacentral:tRNA from 1 species